UCUAAUAUAGGUCGUUGCAAGCUGAACGUCGUUAAUCGUUGCAGGAGAAACCUACCCGGACGGUCUCACAGCGGCGGAGCGCAGAUUACAAAAUACACUUUUGAUAAUAUUUACCACUAACGCACGACAUAAAACUUGAUAUAUAUAUUUUUUGUAUCAAGACGCUUUUUGUAGCGGGGUUUAGUGUUUAUGAAGGUGUCUGGUAUUACGCUGGAGUUUGUUCCUACGCAGUCGUUGGACGCGGCCCGCACACUUUCUGAACACUUCAGCGGUUCCUGUGAAAUGUGUGUUGAGACCAUGGACUCCAACUCCACACACAUCUCCACAAACUGUUCGACCAAACACAAAUUCGUGUCGAAGAUGAAGUGGAAAAUGCUUCGAACGAGGACGACGGAGGACACUUUCAAGAUGUUACACAAGACCGUGAAGACCGGUCACAGAUGCGUCCAUAAGGGAAAGCCGUCGACGCCCAGACCCGGUAAGGGACUCCGGCCAGUGGGGGAGGAAGAAGGGGGACACAGGAGGGCCAUGGCGCCGGAGAACACCACCCAGUACCUCAUGGCCCGCGUCUACGCAGACAUGUCGUCGCCUCUCGGUGACUCAUUCUCACCGCGCUCUGUUUACGACACCGCCGUAGACGUUUACGGGGAGUCGUUGUCGCCGACAAGCGUUUCCACGGCGUUGGACUCCAUUUACGACGACUAUCUCGCUUUCCAACAGCGGGACUUUGAGGAAGUUUUCGGCCUGUGAGCCGUCAUGCAAAUCAGGAACCGGACUAGCCGACGUGGUCUAACCGACGAGGCCUCGCGAGACUUGGCUGUGGCCUGUGGGCUCACCGAUGACACGUCUGUGGCAAAAGAGCUGAACCCGACACCGCCCGCAGUGUCGGGCGCACUCCCGAACAGCGCCAGCUGCCCACCGACGUCUGCCUCAAACCCGCCUCUCUCCUGGUCACCGCUUGCGUAAUGAAGGUAAACGCUACGGUAACGGAGAGCAGAUGGCAGGUACUACAAUGUCGAUACAUGUGUCCCAUUGCUAAGGUACCCAUUGUUGAGUAGACCGAUGGCAGUGUCCCAUCGUCUCGGUGGAGUGAGUGCACAUGAACAUGUAAACGUUGUCUGAGCCUUUUCCAGGUCACAGUGCCACGGACUCUGGGUUCGGCUGUGAACUGGAGCAGAAAGCGGAGAGUCUCCCUCAAAGAGAUGGACCAAGGUGACUCUUUGUAACGGGUUGUUAUGUUAUGAAGACUGGUUAACGUCCGUGUGUAAAUAAUGUACAGAAAGAUUUUUGCGUGUUGUGUUUUAGACAUUAAAAUAUUAUUUGGGAAAUAGUGUGAAUGUGUCAUGACUGUUUCUUAUGUCUCCAUUAAGUGACGAUACAAAGUGAUUUAUAAAAUAAAAUAUCGACUCUUGUUGUAAAAUAACGCUGUUCUUCAAAAAAAAAAAAACUACUUCCGGGAAGGACCAUGGCAAGAUGGCGUCCUCCACCCACUGUAACGUCCUCCUGUCGUCACCAGCUGCUGCCCCAUGAACCACGAAUAGGUAAACCAGGGUUUAGGUCGGGUUUAAAUGCCACGUCUGUUCAUGAACUGUGGAGAAUGUUGCGAUAGAAUAACAAAAUAAAUGCUAUUACACAACAUGUUUGCCUUGAAUUUGUCCAGGAAGGUUAUCGUCUGUGUUUAAACAUUGUGAGACAGUGUCGCCACUAUGGGGUCAGAACAGUCAUAAUGAAUGCACAGAAGGAUUCACAAAUGUAUUUUGUGAUUUAUAUAUAAAAAUUACUCUCUUCUCACAAAUGCAUUUCAAUGCACGCACAAAUGGAUAUCGGCAAGUUUAAAUGUAAAAUAAAUCCUUAAACAAAGUUUCUCAAACAUUUCGGAACCACACACAAAUGUGCCUUGUUUUAAGGCACAUUUGUGUCCGGAUCAGAAAUGUUUAUGGGUUUAUAUAAAUCCAUAAAUGAUAUUUAUGGAUUUACAUAAACCCUAAAUUUAUUAAAAUAUUAGCAUUUUUCAUCAAAUGAAUUCGGAUGUUACAUUUAUAUACAAACUGUUCAACUUGAAUUAACGAGACGCUUUUCAUUUGUGAACUUGUUUGCAUUUGUGCGUGAACUGGACUAUUUAUUUGUGGAUUUUUGAGACUCCUGACGUCGCUAGAUUUACUAAUGCAUUUUUUUCAACAAGGAACUCUGUAGCCAAUCAGAUGCCUCCCUCGUUUUGUGAAUCCAGCCACGUCAGGAGUCUCAAAAAUCCACAUAUAAAUACAGACCAGUUCACACACAAAUGCAACAAGUUCACCAAUGAAAAGCGUCUUGUAAAUUCAAGUUUAACAGUUUGUAUAUAAAUGUAACAACAUCCAAAUACAUUUUUAUGAAAAUUGCAAACAUUUUUUUAAUUCAUAUAUUUAUAUUGCAUUUAUUUAAAACAAGGUACAUUUGUGUGUGGAUCAAAAAUGUGUUUGUGAAACUUAUUUUUGUUUAUGGACAAAUUUUACAUUCAUACAUACUGAUAUCCAUUUGUGUUUGCAUUGAAAUGUAUUUGAAGAGAGUAAUUUAUAUAUAAAUCACAAAAUACAUUUGUGAAUCCUUCUCUGUGCAUUCAUUAUUAAUGAGACUGUUCUGACCGUUGACCGUAAGCACUAAUGUUUGAUACGCGUUUUUGACAGGGGACCUAUACUAGUAUACCGAGGCUAUAAGGGACUGCCAAACGAGUGGCUGUGUUGUGAAACUUCAGAUUUAAGGUUAAACGUGACCAUGUGUAUGGCAGAUUUAUUUGCUUACCUUAAAUAUCUCAAGUGUUAGACUGUCAGGAUGUGGUUGUAUUGGGUGGUCUGGGUAUACGGAACAUGCCUGCUAUUUAGUGGUAUGGUUAGGGUUGAGUUUACUGAACAUGUCAGGGUCUUGUGACCGUGUCUACAUACCUCUUACAGAUUUAUCGUGGAGCGUCUUUCUUUUGGUACUUUGUAUUUAUUUUUGACGCGAUAUGAAUAAAUUCGCGAAACAUGCGGUUCGAAUAAGGUAAUGUAUGAGGUGUUCUCAAGUCGUGUGAUUUAAAAACGAUGCCAGUCUGGAAAUACCCUAGUUUUAAUGCCUCAACCUUUUGUGUUUUUUAAAUUCGGAGCAGAUUAUGCUUCAAAGUACCUACUAUUGACUAAAAGUAGUUGCUAUAUCUGCUGAAACAUUAAUUACUUGUGUUGUACGUCCUGGAACUUCUACUUGGAUAGGAUAAGAUGCUACACACUGCUAUAUUUGUGCACGGGGAAUGGAUAAAUUAAGCGAUUGGUGGUGCUUGGCACAUGGUUCUAUGAACAUCCUUUCUAUACCGACGGCGAUAUACUUGUAUUAAUUCAGAUAAAUGUAGGUCGUUUUGGAUAAAGCGUCAGCUAAAUGUAAUUUUCGCUGACAUCGGUGCUAAUGCUUAAGUGAUUACGUUUGAGCCAGAUCAGAUACUUUUUAUCGAUCCGUAUGGCCUCAAUAUAAUGCCGUCCUAAUGUAUGAAUAUAUUUAACCGUGGGUCCAGUCUACUAUAGUAAAAAAUAAACGCCUAGUUCACUCGCGAACAUCCCAUGACUUUGGAGAGCUGACAUAGCUGACACUUCCUGAUCCACAGUCGCGCCUUUCAAUAUUCUAUUAUGUAGGCUAACUGAAUAUAUCUCGUCAAACCAAAUUUUCCCAUUUUGGACAGAAAUGAAGUAUGUUGGUAUGAAUUACCACUCUGCCAACAACCUCGAUAGUAUGUCGGUAAGUGUUUUUGUGACACCCAAUCGUGGUUGGUCGCCCAAAAACUACGAGGCAAUUUUGUUCAGCAGCGGCCACCUCUGGCAGAAAGUAGUAACGGUGACUUCUAUUGCGCUGUCGUGUUGUUACACCAUGAUGCCAAAAGAUGGCAGUAGUUGUCAACUGAUAUUGAAAGGAAGCGAUCGUCAUGUUCAUGUUUUGUUGCAUGUCCAGGGUUUGAGGUCUGGUCUUCAGAUUAAAGUUCAUGUUCCAAGUGACAAGAACUAGCAUUACAUUUUCGAGUUGCCUCAUUUUAGUCUUUCUUCGCCCAUUUGCUGUGAUGGACCGGUCAAGAAACAAAUUUCAACUUUUGAUUGACGCAUUGGUUUCACCCAUUGCACCUUGCAGGUUCACGAUGGACAAUCCAGUGUGACGGUUAACAAUUGUACCCAAGGGACCCUGUGUUGCUGUUUCUUCCUUUAUUGAUAAAAACUGCUGCACAAGCGCCAAACAGCCUUUGUACUGGGCUUCUGGAAAAAGAGGGCAUAGGCCUACCAUCUAUUGUCCAUUAAAGGAAUGGAAUGGCCCCCUCUUCAUGCAGUACUCUAAUCAUUGAGGGCUGUCGACGUAUAUAAAUGUGUGUUGAGUUGUAGGUUAGUGUAGCCUUUAAACAUCAGUCAUUUUGAUGCCCAUUGGAACAUAACCAGGGGUUUCACAAUUAUAACAAUCAUUGUCAACUUGACUGAGAGCAAAUGUAAGCUUCUUCCGCCAACCGUACUGUAGCUGAAUCAUUUACUCCCAUGGGUUUAUUCUGUUUCAUAACAAGAGGGCAACCCGUCUGUCUGAAAUAUGUUAGCCAGGAGCUACUGAUAUGCAGUUGUGUUAUGGAAUUUGUUGGAAUGCAGUUACUAUGUGGCUGGUUGUCCUGGGGUUUCUUCAUCCUUAAGUGCCCCAACAGGCUAACACAAUAGCAGGAACGAUGGUUGGAUGGCCCUCUGGCCCCCUGGUGAUGUGUUCGUUUCGGUAUGGAGACGCCCAGGAGACCUCAUAAGGACAAGUUCAGUGCAUUCAUCUAAACAAAGGGAGCUGCAUAAAAAACCUUUCAAGUUUGCACUAAUGACAAGUCGGUCUCUUGUGGAGAGGAGAGCUUAUCAGCAUCAAAGAGAUUCUGCAAAACCUCAAUAUCCCCACCUCCAUAGUUGGGUGUGAAAAGCGUAUAUUUAUAUUUAAAUGGCUAGAAUGUUAUUUUCGUGAGGUAUUUCGAGGAGCAAUAUUGUCUGUUAAAUCAUUUAAUGUAAAGUGGAUGUUGGUAGCAUUUAUGCAAAGAAAAAAUGUGUGAAUGUUUAUUUCUCACAGUAAACACCCAUCCGUCUCCCAGCAGCAGUAAGAGGUAUGGAUUCUCUACAGAAACUAAGUACGGGGUUAGCUCCAGAAUCGCACACAUGUUGCUAGGAUAACAGGCUGUUGUCAGACAAGAAGGGGGUCACACCCCAUCACCACUUUCACCCUUACAGGGUUCUAAUAAUCGACUGUCCAUAGGGAAUUCCCUUGGUUGAUCCAGUCAUGUGUUGGUGUCAAGGAAGGAGAAGGCUGCAUGCGGCAUUCUUAAGGCCCUCCCUGACACACCAACCAGAUUAUCGGUCGUCGAACAUUCUGGUGAACUCGGUGACCUGAGUCUGCUCGGUGUUUGCUGUGCGAUCGGCCGUCAUCAAAGCUGCGGUGAUCUUUUCAAGCCCGUCUGGGUUAUUUUCCGCUGAUUGCACAUGUUGUUCCAUGACCAAAUCGGUCCGACUGCCUUUUCUGUCAGCGAUCAGCAGUCUGAAUGGUGUGUCAGGACCAUAAGUGACCUUCCAAGCUAAGUUCCAAUGCUUAACGUCAGAGGAGGUGAUAUCUCAUAUCGGAUAACAUAUAGUUGAUGUGUACGUAUGAAGCUCUGCUUUCAGGAAAUAGCUACGCUGAGCUAUGUGCUAUACAUAUUAUUUCACUGCUGUUGUACUUGCUGGUUGGUUCUACCUCCUCACUCGGCCAUUGGAUGGCCACCUGACCUAGUUGGGAACUCUUUCAUUGGCUUCCCCCCUGGGUGACUGCGUGCCUUCAACGUCGCAACAAAUCCUUAAAGUGGUUAGCAGCUGCAGUGGGCGAUCUUCUGUUCCCUGCGUUCGUUUUACUCCGACCGGCCAAACAUCCAGAUCAGGUCAGAGUCAGACCACGCCAUUACCCCUCAACCAAGCGGAGAACAGCCUUUUCUUUUUACACACUUUUUUCGAACUAGAACAAACAAGUUAUUUCUCUCGCACCAUCCACCCCUCUCUACCCCACCAGCCCCCUUCCAUCUCUCCCUCAUUCGUCUAUCAACGUAAUUGCGCUCCUUCCAAGAAUAGAAGCAAAGUGCCAAGGUCUGUCAAGGCGCCCGUGGUUAAAGUGUCCUUCAGUCCAGGAGACACAUCCUUAUUCUGCACUGGCUUGGUGAGGUUGGCUCCUCUUGAGUCUUCGCUUGUAUUGCUUUUAUCUACGUUUAAGCCUAUUAAGUAAUUUUUCCUUACCAGAAGUAGGCUAUUUCAUGUUUUGCACUUUACACCCUGACUGCUGUCUCUCUGUAUCUGUUUUACAUCAUCCGUCUAUUGCCUUCUUAACAAUCGUCUUACCAAUGUAGUUCGUAUUCUGGCCAUGUUUCAAAAUGUAAAAAGCAAUGCCUCUAGGGAAGGCUAGAGACAUCGGUGAAAGAGAUAA